UCAACUGGUAAAACUUCCAGAACCAUUAUGUGUUUUGGAUAAAGCCGAAAUGAUAAAAAGUUUGUGUACUGUAGUGUAAUCAAACGCAACGUAUAGUGGAUACAGUACAGUUUGUGGAUAAUGUGUUAGAUGCUGAUCGACUUUGUGUGUAACUCAUACUAAGAGAUGCAAGCAACAAUAACAAGUCUCCUGAUGAAUGUUCCAGUCCGAGAGUUGGAAGCAAUGUGUCUGUAUAAGUUGUGGAAUAUCUUUGGGAAGGCAUACAAGAAGACAAAAUCACAGGCCAUAAGCUUAGGGAAAGAAAUGAAGAGUGACAUUAUAUAGAAAAACAAAAAUAUCUCCGAGACAGAUUCCUGAUGGAUGCUCAUGUAUGCAUUGUUUGCAGGAUGAGCUCACCUCAAAAGUAUUAAUAUCUAGUGAACAUAAGAGCUGUGUUAAGUGUGCCGUUCCGUUGCAUUGUAUGUAGUUAGUAGCUAUUUAUGUUCAUAAAUGUUGUUAAACUACGAGCU